UUGACAACUCUAGAGAUAGAGCCUUUCCCUUUGGGGGACAAAGUGACAGGUGGUGCAUGGUUGUCGUCAGCUCGUGUCGUGAGAUGUUGGGUUAAGUCCCGCAACGAGCGCAACCCUUAAGCUUAGUUGCCAUCAUUAAGUUGGGCACUCUAAGUUGACUGCCGGUGACAAACCGGAGGAAGGUGGGGAUGACGUCAAAUCAUCAUGCCCCUUAUGACUUGGGCUACACACGUGCUACAAUGGACAAUACAAAGGGCAGCGAAACCGCGAGGUCAAGCAAAUCCCAUAAAGUUGUUCUCAGUUCGGAUUGUAGUCUGCAACUCG
rnacentral:rRNA from 1 species